UACGGAGGGGGCUAGCGUUGCUCGGAAUUACUGGGCGUAAAGCGCACGUAGGCGGCUUUGUAAGUUAGAGGUGAAAGCCCAGGGCUUAACCCUGGAAUUGCCUUUAAGACUGCAUCGCUAGAAUCGUGGAGAGGUAAGUGGAAUUCCGAGUGUAGAGGUGAAAUUCGUAGAUAUUCGGAAGAACACCAGUGGCGAAGGCGACUUACUGGACACAUAUUGACGCUGAGGUGCGAAAGCGUGGGGAGCAAACAGG
rnacentral:rRNA from 1 species